UACGUAGGGUGCGAGCGUUAAUCGGAAUUACUGGGCGUAAAGUGUGCGCAGGUGGCCGCGCAAGUCGAGUGUGAAAUCCCCGGGCUUAACUUGGGAAUUGCGCUCGAAACUACGUGGCUCGAGUGUGGCAGAGGGAGGUGGAAUUCCACGUGUAGCGGUGAAAUGCGUAGAGAUGUGGAGGAACACCAAUGGCGAAGGCAGCCUCCUGGGCCAACACUGACACUCAGGCACGAAAGCGUGGGGAGCAAACAGG
rnacentral:rRNA from 1 species